rnacentral:rRNA from 1 species
GGGGGAAUAUUGCACAAUGGAGGGAACUCUGAUGCAGCGACGCCGCGUGAACGAAGAAGGCUUUCGAGUCGUAAAGUUCUUUUAUAUGGGAAGAUAAUGACGGUACCAUAAGAAGAAGCCCAGGCGAACUACGUGCCAGCAGCCGCGGUAAUACGUAGGGGGCUAGCGUUGUCCGGAAUCACUGGGCGUAAAGGGUUCGCAGGCGGAAAUGCAAGUCAGGUGUAAAAGGCAGUAGCUUAACUACUGUAAGCAUUUGAAACUGCAUAUCUUGAGAAGAGUAGAGGUAAGUGGAAUUUUUAGUGUAGCGGUGAAAUGCGUAGAUAUUAAAAAGAAUACCGGUGGCGAAGGCGACUUACUGGGCUCAUUCUGACGCUGAGGAACGAAAGCGUGGGUAGCAAACAGG